CGACCUCGCGAGAGCAAGCGGACCUCAUAAAGUAUGUCGUAGUCCGGAUUGGAGUCUGCAACUCGACUCCAUGAAGUCGGAAUCGCUAGUAAUCGUAGAUCAGAAUGCUACGGUGAAUACGUUCCCGGGCCUUGUACACACCGCCCGUCACACCAUGGGAGUGGGUUGCAAAAGAAGUAGGUAGCUUAACCUUCGGGAGGGCGCUUACCACUUUGUGAUUCAUGACUGGGGUGAAGUCGUAACAAGGUAACCGUAGGGGAACCUGCGGUUGGAUCACCUCCUU
rnacentral:rRNA from 1 species